GAGUGGCGAACGGGUGAGUAAUACAUCGGAACGUGUCCUAUCGUGGGGGAUAGCUCGGCGAAAGCCGGAUUAAUACCGCAUGUGAUCGAGAGAUGAAAGCAGGGGACCGCAAGGCCUUGCGCGAUUGGAGCGGCCGAUGUCGGAUUAGCUUGUUGGCGGGGUAAAAGCCCACCAAGGCGACGAUCCGUAGCUGGUUUGAGAGAACGACCAGCCACACUGGGACUGAGACACGGCCCAGACUCC
rnacentral:rRNA from 1 species